rnacentral:rRNA from 1 species
AGAGUUUGAUCCUGGCUCAGGAUAAACGCUGGCGGUGUACAUAAGACAUGCAAGUCGAACGGGAGAAGACUGGAAGAUUUAUCUACUAGUUGGACACCGUGGCGGACGGGUGAGUAACACGUAAGCAACCUGCCUAUAAGAGGGGAAUAACAGUGAGAAAUUACUGAUAAUACCGCAUAAGCUGGAGGUAUCGCAUGAUACAUUCAGAAAAGAUUUAUCGCUUAUAGAUGGGCUUGCGUCUGAUUAGCUAGUUGGUGAGAUAACAGCUCACCAAGGCGACGAUCAGUAGCCGGAUUGAGAGGUUGAACGGCCACAUUGGGACUGAGACACGGCCCAGACUCCUACGGGAGGCAGCAGUCGGGAAUAUUGCACAAUGGAGGAAACUCUGAUGCAGUGACACCGCGUAUAGGAAGAAGGUCUUAGGAUUGUAAGCUAUUGUCGUGUGAGAAGAAAAUGACCAUCACAGGAGGAAGCCCUGGCUAAAUAUGUGCCAGCAGCCGCGGUAAUACAUAUGGGGCGAGCGUUAUCCGGAUUUAUUGGGUGUAAAGGGUGCGUAGGCGGGAAAAUAAGUCAGUAUGUGAAAUCCCUCGGCUCAACUGAGGAACUGCAACUGAAACUAUUUUUCUUGAGUGUUGAAGGGGAAAGUGGAAUUCCUAGUGUAGCGGUGAAAUGCGUAGAGAUUAGGAGGAACACCAGUGGCGAAGGCGACUUUCUGGGCAACAACUGACGCUGAGGCACGAAAGUGUGGGGAGCAAACAGGAUUAGAUACCCUGGUAGUCCACACCGUAAACGAUGGAUACUAGGUGUUGGCAAUGAAUAAUUGUCGGUGCCGGCGCUAACGCAAUAAGUAUCCCACCUGGGGAGUACGACCGCAAGGUUGAAACUCAAAGGAAUUGACGGGGGCCCG